AGUGAACGCUGGCGGCGCGCCUAAUACAUGCAAGUCGAGCGAGAAGGUGUAGCAAUACACUUGUAAAGCGGCGAACGGGUGAGGAAUACAUGGGUAAUCUACCAUCGAGUGGGGAAUAACCAACCGAAAGGUUGGCUAAUACCGCGUACGCCUCCGAGUCUUCGGGUUCGGAGGGAAAGCUGCACUGUGAGUGUAGCGCUCUUUGAUGAGCUCAUGUCCUAUCAGCUUGUUGGUAGGGUAACGGCCUACCAAGGCUUUGACGGGUAGCUGGUCUGAGAGGACGAUCAGCCACACUGGCACUGCGACACGGGCCAGACUCCUACGGGAGGCAGCAGUAAGGAAUAUUGGUCAAUGGACGGAAGUCUGAACCAGCCAUGCCGCGUGCAAGAAGAAGGCCCUACGGGUUGUAAAUUGCUUUUAAUCGAGAAUAACAGCAACUACGUGUAGUUGUAUGAAAGUAUCGAUAGAAUAAGGAUCGGCUAACUCCGUG
rnacentral:rRNA from 1 species